rnacentral:rRNA from 1 species
UACGUAGGCAGCGAGCGUUGUUCGGAGUUACUGGGCGUAAAGAGUGCGUAGGCGGUUUUCUAAGUUUGGUGUGAAAUCUCCCGGCUCAACUGGGAGGGUGCGCCGAAGACUGGAAGGCUUGAGUAUGGGAGAGGUAAGCGGAAUUCCUGGUGUAGCGGUGAAAUGCGCAGAUAUCAGGAGGAACACCGGUGGCGAAGGCGGCUUGCUGGGCCAGUUCUGACGCUGAGGAGCGAAAGCGUGGGGAGCGAACAGG